GACUGGUCCAAGUGUAAUGAGUUAUCUUAAUUGAUUGUUCACAUUCGGUUACAGAUUGGACUCCUUGUUCUACUCUUCCCCAUUCUAACUACUGCACUUGACUGGUCUUAA
ensembl:misc_RNA Y_RNA Y RNA